UAUAUAUAUAUACAUUCUCACACUAUAUACAUACAUGUGUCCCAUACAGUGAACUUACCAUAUAUAUAUAGUUCCCCGUUACCUGUAGUACUCACAUCUAAAAUAAUUCCUCAUUACCUGUACAGUGUCACUCCCUGUACACAGUUUAUAUACAAUGCCAUUCCUCGUACAGAUCGAGAAAAUAAUCAAAACCCGUUUCUAUGGGUGACGAUUUGUUUACCUCAACAGGAGGCAGUAACCUGAAUCAGAAAUAACACAUGUAAAACUCAAAAAAGGAGUAAAACAAAAUGCAACACAUCUGAAAAGAAUAUCAAGAUUCUCCUUGGUCCACUGGUCAUUUGUGUCAGACAGCAACACAAGCUACAGGAAGAUAUUGUCCCUAUCUAGAACAUCUUGUGCAAGACAUAUGGUCAAAGGGAGGCAACUCACAAUACCUUUGCGUCUCCAACAUGGCAUAUUUUUAUGUACAGUUAACUUAAAGAAAAGAUAACAGAUUAUUAUCUAUGUUGAUAUUUGGUGAUAUGAUCAUAUCUCUUGUUUAAGAGCAGUAAGAUAAGUGAUGUGAACCAAUGUAGAUGACUAAAAACAUUGCUAAAGCACCUGGUACAUUGUAUUGUGUAUUAAUAUCACAAUUAAUCAAGGUAACAGUUACUUUGUAGCUAAAUGACAAUGUAUUACUACUUAACAAAAUGACAUCAUGUAUUACAAGGUAACAGUUACUUUGUAUCUAAAUGACAAUGUAUUACUACUUAGCAAUAUGACAUCAUGUAUUAUAAGGUAACAGUUACUUUGUAUCUAAAUGACAAUGUAUUACUACUAAGCAAUAUGACAUCAUGUAUUACAAGGUAACAGUUACUUUGUAGCUAAAUGACAAUGUAUUACUACUUAACAAAAUGACAUCAUGUAUUACAAGGUAACAGUUACUUUGUAUCUAAAUGACAAUGUAUUACUACUUAGCAAUAUGACAUCAUGUAUUACAAGGUAACAGUUACUUUGUAGCUAAAUGACAAUGUAUUACUACUUAGCAGUAUGACAUCAUGUUUUACGAGGUAACAGUUACUUUGUAGCUAAAUGACAAUGUAUUACUACUUAGCAAUAUGAUAUCAUGUAUUACAAGGUAACAGUUACUUUGUAUCUAAAUGACAAUGUAUUACUACUUAGCAAUAUGACAUCAUGUAUUACAAGGCACCAGUAUGACAAAUACUAAAAGAGCACUAUAUUAAAGCAACAUGUUUUCAUCACAUACAUUAAUUUCAUUAAAAUGAAUUUAUCAACAAUAUAUCAGAAUUCUUAGGGUGAAAAAUGAUGUAUGAAAUUCUCUAUUUUACACAAGAACAUAUAACAUCCACACUUGCUUCUAUCUAUUUCUCUCCAUUUGUAAAUGCUCAUACUCGAUGCAUAGUCACAAUAGUGUAAACAUGAAAAGCCUAUAUAAACAUGUGGAAUACAUGUACUUGUGUUAUAUAUGAAAUAUGAGUAUUGAUUUCUGAUAAAUAUAAUAUAUACAAUCUGGACUACAUUUAUAGGAUAUAGGCAAGGCAGAAAUUCAUCUGAAAAAGCUGCUGCUGUUUUUAAUAAGUCACGUGAUUUGAUUUAAAACCCAUCAGCAGACAGCUAACACAACUAAUAUACAUAUUUAUACACAACCUUACACACUAUUCCACCCAUAACAUGUUCUUUUACACUCAAAACACACUAUUCUAAACCGUAACACCCUAAGACUCGCUCUAAAUCC